UUCUUCUUAAUAUCAUGCAAUUGAAUCUUCAAAUCAUAAAUUAAAGAAUCUCAAACCUUGAACAAUACAUAUAAUCAUCACCAUUUAUCUUAGAAAUUGAAAUUGAAGGUUUGAUUGGAGGUGGUGGGGGCUGAAAAAUUCUAGGAAGUAAAAAGGAUGAAUUGUGAUUUUGAGAACCCUAAAUUGUUGUCUUUCACUCUUGAGGUGAUGAAGAUCUUCUUGUUGAGCCUAGCAGCCAUAUAGUGCCAAAUAGCCAAGUUAAGGAAUUGGUAGUAGCAAGGGAAAGGAUUUGGCCAAGUGAUGGAUUUGAAGUGAAAGUUGUUAUUGAAGGUAUUUUGCCAUCUUGUAAGGUUGGCAACUUGGAUAAAGGCAUAGUAGAGAAUCCCUUGGUAUAUUAUGACUCUUGAUACAAACCUUUCUCUUGGAUUGAACAAGUCUAAUUUUGGUAUAAAAACUGUGGUUAUGUCAAGAUAUUGGUCAUUUGGUUUGUAUGUGUCACAACAUUGUUAAUUAGGUCGUUCAUUAGGUUAAAUGACCCGUAAAGUUGUAGAACUUUCUCUUCAACAUUUGAAACCUUUUGUAAUGUUAAGUAAUGUGUUUAUGAUUUAUUUGUAUCAGGGAAUG